rnacentral:rRNA from 1 species
GACGAACGCUGGCGGCGUGCUUAACACAUGCAAGUCGAACGGAAAGGCCCUGCUUUUGUGGGGUGCUCGAGUGGCGAACGGGUGAGUAACACGUGAGUAACCUGCCCUUGCCUUUGGGAUAACUUCAGGCAACUGGGGCUAAUACCGGAUAGGAGCUCCUGCUGCAUGGUGGGGGUUGGAAAGUUUCGGCGGUUGGGGAUGGAAUAGCGGCCUAUCAGCUUGUUGGGUUGGUAGUGGCUUACCAAGGCCUUGACAGGUAGCCGGCCUGAGAGGGUAACCGGCCACAUUGCGACGGAGAUGCGGCCCAGACUCGUAUGGGAGGCAGCAGUGGAGAAUAUUGCACAAUGGGCGGAGGCCUGAUGCAGCAACGCCGCGUGCGGGAUGACGGCCUGCGGUUUGUAUACCGCUUUCGCCUGAGACGAAGCGUGAGUGACGGUAAUGGGUAAAGAAGCACCGGCUAACUACGUG